rnacentral:misc_RNA from 1 species
AAGUCGUAACAAGGUUUCCGUAGGUGAACCUGCGGAAGGAUCAUUAACACGUAUCCAAACGUUAAAACCCCCCCCCGUGAACCUUCAUCCUGCUCUUGUAACCCGCGUAGUUCGCAAUCUCUGAUAAAUCAUAGCCCGGAAAGUGAUUCAGAGACCUCUGGCUACGUGCGAACAUUGGUGUGCAAGGAUAGCGCUUCUACGAUUCCUGUAGACCGUACACUCGGGCAGGAGCUUUGCCAAAGGGUCCCCAUGCCCCCUAAUAACCCCACAGUUUAAUGUGAAGCUCAAUGUAAUACAUUGGGUAAAAAAACCGAACAACUGUACAAUGGAUAUCUUGGUUCUC